rfam:Gossypium hirsutum cultivar TM-1 chromosome 21, whole genome shotgun sequence
AAUUCAUGGUACGAGCAUUUUUGAAUCAAAAUUUUGAAACGUUCCCAUGCCUCAUAAAAACUUUCUCCCUCUAUCUUUCUAGAAAAAUCUCUCCUUUAGUU